rnacentral:lncRNA from 1 species
CUACCGAAAAUUGUCGGCAUCGUGAGAUUGGUUUGUAUUUUGCUGUUGUAUGUCCCUCUUUUGUCUUGGCUUGAUUUUCGUAGCAAUACUCUAGUUAGCUUGGGUUUAUGUUCAUUUCUUUUCAAUGAAAGUAUUUAAUUUGCCUUGUUAUUAAUGACCUGAUGUAUAUUUCAUUUUGUUUAAACACUGUUUUCAAAUCAUUCGUCACUAUUUAGUAACUUAAUUUGAUCAAGUCCAUGUUAUGAUUCAUGCCCCACUGCCUCAAUUGUAUGUCAUGGUUGCUAUAUACAAUAUAUAUGUUUCCAGCACCUAUAAUUGCUCUUAAAUCAAUACAUGCUUGAUUUGUUACUUGCAGACGCUUAACUUAAUAUUUAAUGCAUUUGUUCUAGUUCAUUAGAUGCUUCUUGUAAUGUGUCUCUCACCAUAGCCGUAAAUGAUUAUGAAUUGUGUAAAUUACCAUUCUAAUUCUUAUCGUUUUAUUUUUCUUGCAUGAAUCUCUUGUCUUGAGUCCAAUUCGGGACUCUCUCUUUCACUCCUUGUGUCUCGAUCUGGGUUGAAACCCGACCCUCCUCUUUUUUAUCGAGCCGGCCUUCAUCAUUUGUUCGAGUUUUGGAAGCCGAAACAUGCCUUGGAAGGUUAAAGAAUAGGUUGUAUACAUGUCGUAUACAACUGAUAUAUAAGCCAAAAACGUGAAAAUACAGAGAUAAGGUAAAAUACAGGUGUUCGGAAGCAGGAGAUACAUGGAAAGAGCUGAUAUACAUGCCGAUAUACACUGAUAUACA